AGUGAACGCUGGCGGUAGGCCUAACACAUGCAAGUCGAACGGCAGCACAGUAAGAGCUUGCUCUUACGGGUGGCGAGUGGCGGACGGGUGAGGAAUACAUCGGAAUCUACUUUUUCGUGGGGGAUAACGUAGGGAAACUUACGCUAAUACCGCAUACGACCUACGGGUGAAAGCAGGGGAUCUUCGGACCUUGCGCGAUUGAAUGAGCCGAUGCCGGAUUAGCUGGUUGGCGGGGUAAAGGCCCACCAAGGCGACGAUACGUAGCUGGUCUGAGAGGAGGAUCGGCCACACUGGACCUGAGAAACGGUCAAGACUCCUACGGGAGGCAGCGGUGGGGAAUAUUGGCCAAUGGGCGCAAGCCUGAUCCAGCCAGACCGCGUGGGUGAAGAAGGCCUUCGGGUUGUAAAGCCCUUUUGUUGGGAAAGAAAAGCAGCAGGUUAAUACCCCGCUGUUCUGACGGUACCCAAAGAAUAAGCACCGGCUAACUUCGU
rnacentral:rRNA from 1 species